GUUUGAUAAACAGUGCUGUAAAUAGGUCUCAGAUUUUGUCCAUAAUUCAUCUACUGUCACAGAAUUAUCAUGAAAAAUACAAGAAAAAUUGGGGUAGUGAUAAUCAAAAAGUUCAAGAAUGGUGACAUCAUCUGCAUAUUUCCAAUCAUACAUUCCAUGGCGCUGUCUUUGUUUGGUGUGAAUGUAUGUGAACAGCACCUUUUGAGUGUAUCGCUGUGCGUUACGAAGCGGAGCGGUACGUAGGCAAACAGAUGCGCUGACGACGUUGCGAUCAUUAUAAGCCGUUAUCGCUCUUUAGUGCCUUACCCAUCCGUGUAGAGCCGUUAUGAACCGUGGCCAAACCUACUCCGGCGGUGGCACUGCCGCACGGACCGUACCUUGAAAGCGAUCUGCGAUGCCGAAAAAGAGUGCCGACUGCUGAUAUAGCUUCGUCCUUUGUGUUCUCGCCGCCUAAUUACCGUUUAAGAAAGAAUAGCGCAGGUAUAGUUUCUCGCUACGUCCUAGACGGCGUAACCGAGUACAGAUCCAAACCAGGUCGUCGGACUAGUAUCCCACGUAGCGUCGUCGAAGACGGUAGUGCCGGCUGCCGGUCCUCUGCUGGUUCUUGGUUAGGAGGCGGGCGAGCUGUCGGUUUCCAUCGGCGCGCAGGAGAUAGGCGCCGACGUCGAUAUUCUCAUCGUCCAAGACGGGGCUCAGCACGGCGUCGAGAGUCGUCGUCGGGUUCCUUCCGUAAACUAGCCUGAAUGGUGUGAUUCGCGUUGUUUCUUGCACUGCCGCGCUAGAAGCGAUGGCCAUGUAUGGCAGGACGGCACUCCACGUCUUGCGCUCGACGUCGACGUACUUUGCUAGCGUGUUGGCGAGGGUCUUGUUUAGCCACUCCGUAAGACUAAUCGUCUACAAGUGGUAGGCAGUUGUCUUCUUGUAGCUGGCCUGCCUGCAUUGCAGAAUCGCUUGGGUGAGCGCUCCUGUAAAGGCCGUUCCUCUGUCGGUGAUGAGCGCUUCUUGGGCACCAUCUCGCAGCAUGGUGUUCUUGAUGAUGAAUUUCGCCAUUUGCCAUAAGUAUGAGCUUGAGCUAUUCGGGAAGACAGCAACAACAGACAUGGGCAGGAAAGCCUGAUACGAUCUCAGAAGAAAGCUUCAAAUUAAAACGAAGUUUCGAAUAACAUAGAGCGCCUGUACAGGAAUACCAUGUUUUGUGGCCGAAAUUCCUGGGUACUCGACAACUACGCACGAAAACAUUUUGUCCUCAAGGACAACAGCAAAAAGCCCAAGGGAGCCCAAUGACGCUAGUCAGUGUAGGCACAGAGUAGUGAUUGAACGUUUCCUAUUUUUGUCAAGAGUACUGACUGUUUGUGGAGGUUUUCUAGGCAGAGUAUAAAUUUUAUAAUGCUGUAAAGAUUUCAAUGACACCAAAAGUGAGAAGUUCUUUUUCAAUCGAAUGUAACUGAUUACUUCCAUUUUCCUGUUGCAUAGACAAUUACUCAUGUACAUAAGCUAACGGGCAUCAGCAAGGGGCUGCUGCGAUUCGUUUUACCUAUGCUCCAAAACAAUUGAGUGGCAGCUGUAAGAUUCAGUAGGAAUUCGAAAAUCCUACAUACCUGAACCUGUGGAAAACACAGCUGCCGCUUUCCCGUAAACCACUCGGCCUUCAUGUGUUGAGAUUAACCAAUUGAUUUUUACAAUUUCAGAGGCUAUUUUAAUUUUUUUUGCAUAUAUGUAGCCUUUCAGCUUAUGAUAUUCUCGCCAAAAUCUCGCGCAUAUGACCGAAUAUCUUUCACAUAAACUAAGCCAAACAUUUUGGCCAUGAAGAGCAGGGAGCAAAAACAUACCACAGUAUUUUAGAUUUUCCGCCCAUUCAUGGUGGCAACCUGGUUUUUUCACUUUCAGGUUUAUGUUUUAUGCCAGCUACGAGCCAUUAGGAAGCGCUCAUUUCUGUUGACAACAUUGUCAAUGCCACAACGAACUAUACGUUAUAUAAUAUUACAAUACCUUGUUGUGCUGUUGCGCAGAAAUCGAAACAGUAUUGGAAUCAACCUGUUGUGAAAAGCUGCGAACUCUGGGUCAACGACAAAUAUUUCCAGCAGAACGGCACGUGCACUACUUCUUGUAGCAACCUAUAUACGAAAUACUGCUUUUGCUCACCUCCAGAUGUUUACAACGUGACUCAAUGCGGGCUAUUUUUCACAAACGGACCAAACUGUUGAAGCUGCUGCUUAAUUAGCUGUGCAAUAAAGAAUAAGA